CCUUGGCUGCUGCUCCCAUGCAGGGAGACUUUUUGGCUGAGAAGGAUGACUUGAGUUAGUGAUUGCUGAAUGCCCUAUAUUUGGCAUUAUACUGUUCAUGUAAACAGGGAGAACAGAGCAGACAUUCAUGACUGUAGCUUUACUGACUGAGAGAUUUUGAACUGGAGAAAACCACCACGAACUUCAUAUGGAACCAAAAGAGAGCCCGCAUAGCCAAGUCAAUUCUAAGCAAAAAGAACACAGCGGGGGGCAUCACACUACCGGAUUUCAAACUAUACUACAAGGCUACAGUAAUCAAAACAGCAUGGUACUGGUACCAAAACAGAGAUAUAGACCAAUGGAACAGAACAGAGGCAACAGAGGCAACACAACAUAUCUACAACCAAUCUCUUCUUAAAAUUGUGAACCUAAUCUCAAGAAAAAACCUGUAAUGAAAUCAGCAGCAAAAAGCAACAGCCCAAGGUUAUGUCCCCAAAUGAUGGUUCAGGAAUGAACUUAACAAAUUACAUAUUUGAAAGCAAGUAGAAUAAUAAAAUAAAUUUCUUUAUCUCCCUGC